AUCGCUUCUCAGCCUUUUGCCUAAGAUCAAGUGUAGUAUCUGUUCUUAUUAGUAUUUCAAAAUCAGGAAUAAAAGACUUAUAAAUGUACAAAUUGUUGCCUCAGCAAAGCCCUCUCCUUGUUUCAGUAAAGUACUU
rnacentral:snRNA from 1 species